rnacentral:rRNA from 1 species
GGUUCGCUAAUACCGCAUACGUCCUACGGGAGAAAGAGGGGGAUCUUCGGACCUCUCGCUAAUAGAUGAGCCUAGGCCGGAUUAGCUAGUUGGUAGGGUAAAGGCCUACCAAGGCGACGAUCUGUAGCUGGUCUGAGAGGAUGGCCAGCCACACUGGAACUGAGACACGGUCCAGACUCCUACGGGAGGCAGCAGUGGGGAAUAUUUGACAAUGGGGGCAACCCUGAUCCAGCCAUGCCGCGUGUGUGAAGAAGGCCUUCGGGUUGUAAAGCACUUUAAGCGAGGAGGAAGGUUUUUAGUUUAAUACACUAAAGAAUUGACGUUACUCGCAGAAUAAGCACCGGCUAACUCUGUGCCAGCAGCCGCGGUAAUACAGAGGGUGCAAGCGUUAAUCGGAAUUACUGGGCGUAAAGCGCGCGUAGGCGGUUUGUUAAGUCGGAUGUGAAAUCCCUGGGCUCAACCUAGGCACUGCAUCCGAUACUGGCUAACUAGAGUGUGGGAGAGGAAGGUAGAAUUCCAGGUGUAGCG